rnacentral:rRNA from 1 species
UAUCAAUAAGCGGAGGAAAAGAAACCAACAGGGAUUGCCCCAGUAACGGCGAGUGAAGCGGCAACAGCUCAAAUUUGAAAUCUGGCACCUAGUGCCCGAGUUGUAAUUUGUAGAGGAUGCUUUUGGCAAGGUGCCUUCCGAGUUCCCUGGAACGGGACGCCAUAGAGGGUGAGAGCCCCGUCUGGUCGGAUACCGCGCCUCUGUAAAGCUCCUUCGACGAGUCGAGUAGUUUGGGAAUGCUGCUCAAAAUGGGAGGUAUAUGUCUUCUAAAGCUAAAUAUUGGCCAGAGACCGAUAGCGCACAAGUAGAGUGAUCGAAAGAUGAAAAGCACUUUGAAAAGAGGGUUAAAAAGUACGUGAAAUUGUUGAAAGGGAAGCGCCUAUGACCAGACUUGGGCCCGGUGAAUCAUCCAGCGUUCUCGCUGGUGCACUUUGCCGGGCACAGGCCAGCAUCAGUUUGGCUUGGGGGAAAAAGGCUUAGGGAACGUAGCUCCUCGGAGUGUUAUAGACCUUUGCAUAAUACCCUGAGCUGGACUGAGGUUCGCGCAUCUGCAAGGAUGCUGGCGUAAUGGUCAUCAGCGACCCGUCUUGAAACACGGACCAAGGAGUCGUCUUCGUAUGCGAGUGUUCGGGUGUAAAACCCCUACGCGUAAUGAAAGUGAACGCAGGUGAGAGCUUCGGCGCAUCAUCGACCGAUCCUGAUGUUCUCGGAUGGAUUUGAGUAAGAGCAUACGGGGCCGGACCCGAAAGAAGGUGAACUAUGCCUGUAUAGGGUGAAGCCAGAGGAAACUCUGGUGGAGGCUCGCAGCGGUUCUGACGUGCGAAUCGAUCGUCAAAUAUGGGCAUGGGGG